UUCAAAGUGUGUAAUAGAAGUUUCUAACAGGAAACACAUGGUCUAACAAAGAUGUUUAACUACAACCCAAGGAAUCUAGCUAUUGAAGAAUCAUUCCCACAACAUGGAGCAAGAAGUAGUAUGCUUAAAGGUGAGAAAAAUAAGACACGUGGACAAAUUCUGCCCUUUUCUGCUGGCUGACCAUAUGUCAAGUUGAGAGGCUGAUGCAAAAAUACUAUGACAGCACAGCUACAGCAGUGCAGAAGGAACAGAAGACUGUAGGACUCCCUUCCAAGAAAUGUUACGGUGAUGACCUCAUUGCUAUCCUUCCAUAGGCAGGUUAAACCUGUUGUUAUUAUUUUGAAAGGCCUUUGAGGACUAAUUGUUCAUGUGAUAAGGGUCUUUAAUAAUGUGCUGUAUUGGGUAUCUAUAUCUUAAUGAUUAUGAUUUUAUGGAUACAUGUACAUAUCCAUGUACAGAUGUCAAAGUUGCUUUUUAUAUUAUUGACAGUUUAAUUAUAUUUUAACAUUUGUAUGAUUUUAUAUUGGCUUUUAGCUUUUAACAAUAAAAUUCUA